ensembl:lncRNA
GCUCCUCCCGCUUGGGGCCGGCCCGUCUCCACCGGCAACGCCGUAACACGCCGAGCGGGGCCGGAGGAUGGGCGGGCGGCUCCCGGGUCCUUCCGCGUUGCCGGCAGCCGGCCCGCUUGGGGGAAGGGUCGCUGUGUUUUAAUUUGCUGUUGUUCUACAUGCGAUGUAAUUAUCAUGCUAGGUCUGUUUGAAUAAUGGAUACACACAUCAAGAAAAUGGCACAGUUGUUGGACAAUGAUCAGGUUUUGGAAAAAGCUGGGUUGACCACAAAAUCCACUCUGCAGGGUGUUCAUCCACCAUGCCAAGAUUUUACUAUGUCACGUCCAGGACCAGAUAAUGGAUCGCUGGUCAUACAUAGCAGCAAGACAAAUGAUCUGCUGAGAGUACAAAUGAAGGAAAUACAGUCUGAAAAGGUGCAAACCUCUGAAGAGUGGCUAAGAAACUACAGUUUAGAAUCCUUGCAAUUAACAUUAGAGCAUCUGGUAGACGAAGGCAGUAUUGUUUUUGUUCCAGGAAUUCAAGAAAUGGUGUUGAAGAGAUAGAGUUUACAGAAGAGACUGUUACUGAUUUUGAGUCCAGACUUUCUGAGAGUGCCACUACUUCAGCAUACCUCACUGUGUCAAGUCAUGAAGGUACAGAAUCUUCCGAAGGUCCACCUUCAGUACUUGGGCCCUGAACCAUCCAAGCAAACUGUCUGCAGAUCUGGUUUAAAAAAGAAGUAGUUUUUGUGUUUUGAAAAAGCAAAACUGUUUUCCCCUUUAAAAUGUUGAUUUAAACUUUCUGUUUAAAUUGUAAAAACUAUGCAUGUGGUAUUAAAAAUCAGUUGGUUGAAGCAAAACAAUUUUAGAAGAAGCAAGCACUUUGUUUUACCUCAGGUUUUACCUAUUUUGAAAUGGAAAUUGUUGAAAGUUAUGCUGCAGUUAGUCUGGCACUUCAGUGAGUGUGCUGCCUUUCAAUCACAAGCUUAUAUUUCAUGAAUGUCUUAAGCAAUAGUGUAGGUUGUAUUAAAUACAUUUCCUGACAGUAACCUGUGUGUGCUGAACUAAACUCAGUUUUGCCUGAACUUCUGUUGUUCACACAUACACAUGGUAAAUACCCCACUCCCACCUCUGAACAGAAUAAGCCAGCAACUGAUUAGAAAACAUUCCAGUGUUCUGUUUUUUCAGACAGCCACAUAUUUAAUCAAACAACUUUAGGAGAAGUAGUAUUUAAAUGGUUAACCCUGCAACCAUCAGUUGUAUGAGAACACUGGCAACAGCAGUUUUAAAUGCUGCUUCUCACAGAUUUUGCAUCUGUGAGAAGAAGGAUGUGAUGAAGACAAAUGGUUGAUUGUAACAUUGAUGCACAAUGCAAGAGAUCGCCUUAGCUAAAUGUGUGCUAUGCCUUUUGUCAGAGUGAUUGAACUUUAUCAGCAGCGAAUUCAGUGGCUGUUGCAGGACAGCAGAAAGGUAACUUUAACUUUGCAGUAUGCUUUUAGAAUGGAACUGUAUAUGGCAUUAAAGAAUAAAUUAAUUUUUGAAUAUUAGUGAAGUGUGGCUUCCAUAGCUUGUGUAUUUUUGUUGUCUACUGUGAGUUACACAUCAUAGGCACUGCUACUUAUCUUGUCCAUGGAUUGUUUUCUUGAUCUUUCAUUGGUAUGUGGUCUUCAGCUUUCUAGAUCUAGUCUUUUGCUUUCUCAUAGCAGUCUUAGUCAUCAGAACCUCUCGCUGACAUUUAAACUGGAGUAGACAAUGCUGAGCUUAACCUCUGAGGGAAGUGCAGCUGUCUUGUAGUCCAUUGUGCCUUCUCUUGCACAGCUGGUUAAUUAAUCACUUACUGUACCUAGCAGGGCUAAUGCUCAGGAAUUGGAAAAGGAUAUGACUCCUUCUCAAAGGGGUGAGGGAAAGAAGUAGCAUUCCAAAAUCUGGCUUCCACAAAGCUGCUUGAUUUAACCUGAAGGAGACGCUGUAGACAAAGUUAUUUUUUAUCCUUUCAAGUAAUAAAUAGGUUGCUUGGCAAGGAAGUAAUACUGAUUCACUGGUAAGGAUAAACUGGGAGCCAGUUUUAAUUCUUCCUCGACUUUGUCAACUGUGUCAUCUUUAUGCUAAAACACUUAAUGUGCAAAUAAAUACCUAAUAUUUGAUUUUAAAAUGGUGGUGUACAGAAUAAACAGUUAAAUUAUUAAGCUGUAGAUAAGCUUAGUAUUUACAGUGACUUUUCUCUUUUAAGAUGUUUGGCCUUAUAAAAGGAACCAAAGUUGGACUUUUGGUUGAUGUGUCUCAUAUAAGCUAUGGACCUAGACUGCUGGAGUUUCAGAAGGAUCUUUUUGUAAGUCAUAAUAAAGCAGACUUUGGCAAUUAUAGCAUACUAAUUAAGCUUUUGUGUAACUACAAGCC